CCUACGGGAGGCAGCAGUGAGGAAUAUUGGUCAAUGGUCGGGAGACUGAACCAGCCAAGCCGCGUGAGGGAUGAAGGUACAGAGUAUCGUAAACCUCUUUUGUCAGGGAACAAAGGCGGGGACGUGUCCCCGGAUGAGUGUACCUGAAGAAAAAGCAUCGGCUAACUCCGUGUCAGCUGCCGCGGUAAUACGGAGGAUGCGAGCGUUAUCGGGAUUUAUUGGGUUAAAGGGGUGCGCAGGCGGUAUGUUAAGUCAGGGGUAAAAGCCCGGGGCUCAACCCCGGCCCGACGUUGAAACUGGCAGUCUCGAGUUGGAGAGAGGUAUGCGGAAUGCGCGGUGUAGCGGUGAAAUGCAGAGAUAUCGCGCAGAACUCCGAUUGCGAAGGCAGCAUGCCGGCUCCACACUGACGCGGAGGCACGAAAGCGUGGGUAUCGAACAGGAUUAGAUACCCUUGUAGUC
rnacentral:rRNA from 1 species